UACGGGGGGGAGCAAGCGUUGUUCGGAUUUACUGGGCGUAAGGGGCGCGUAGGCGGUCAGCACAAGUCAGUUGUGAAAUCUCCGGGCUUAACUCGGAAAGGUCAACUGAUACUGUGCGACUUGAGUUCGGAAGAGGGUCGUGGAAUUCCCAGUGUAGAGGUGAAAUUCGUAGAUAUUGGGGAAGAAACACCGGUGGGCGAAGGCGGCGACCUGGUCCGAUACUGACGCUGAGCGCGAAAGCGUGGGGAGCAAACAGG
rnacentral:rRNA from 1 species